rnacentral:rRNA from 1 species
CCUACGGGUGGCUGCAGUGAGGAAUAUUUGUCAAUGGGUGAGAGCCUGAACCAGCCAAGUCGCGUGAAGGAUGAAGGAUCUAUGGUUUGUAAACUUCUUUUAUAUGGGAAUAAAGUGCGGAACGUGUUCCUUUUUGUAUGUACCAUAUGAAUACGCAUCGGCUAACUCCGUGCCAGCAGCCGCGGUAAUCCGGAGGAUGCGAGCGUUAUCCGGAUUUAUUGGGUUUAAAGGGUGCGUAGGUGGUUAAUUAAGUCAGCGGUGAAAGGUUGUGGCUCAACAAUAAAAUUGCCUUUGAAACUGGUUGACUUGAGUAUAGUUGAGGUAGGCGGAAGGCGUGGGGUAGCGGUGAAAUGCAUAGAGAUCACGAAGAACACCGAUUGCGAAGGCAGCUUACUAAACCAUAACUGACACUGAAGCACGAAAGCGUGGGGAUCAAACAGGAUUAGAUACCCGGGUAGUC